rnacentral:rRNA from 1 species
GAUGAACGCUGACAGAAUGCUUAACACAUGCAAGUCAACUUGAACUUCGGUUUGGGUGGCGGACGGGUGAGUAACGCGUAAAGAACUUGCCUCACAGAUAGGGACAACAUUUGGAAACGAAUGCUAAUACCUGAUAUUAUGAUUAUAUGGCAUCGUAUAAUUAUGAAAGCUAUAUGCGCUGUGAGAGAGCUUUGCGUCCCAUUAGCUAGUUGGAGAGGUAACGGCUCACCAAGGCGAUGAUGGGUAGCCGGCCUGAGAGGGUGAUCGGCCACAAGGGGACUGAGACACGGCCCUUACUCCUACGGGAGGCAGCAGUGGGGAAUAUUGGACAAUGGACCAAGAGUCUGAUCCAGCAAUUCUGUGUGCACGAUGAAGUUUUUCGGAAUGUAAAGUGCUUUCAGUUGGGAAGAAAAAAAUGACGGUACCAACAGAAGAAGUGACGGCUAAAUACGUG